CGUAGGAGCAAGCGUUGUCCGGAAUCAUUGGGCGUAAAGCGCGCGUAGGUGGCCUCGUAAGUCCGCUGUGAAAGUCAAAGGCUCAACCUUUGAAAGCCGGUGGAUACUGCAGGGCUAGAGUACGGAAGAGGCGAGUGGAAUUCCUGGUGUAGCGGUGGAAUGCGCAGAUAUCAGGAGGAACACCAAUAGCGAAGGCAGCUCGCUGGGACGUUACUGACACUGAGGCGCGAAAGCGUGGGAGCGAACAGGAUU
rnacentral:rRNA from 1 species